UACGUAGGGUGCAAGCGUUAAUCGGAAUUACUGGGCGUAAAGCGUGCGCAGGCGGUUGUGCAAGACCGAUGUGAAAUCCCCGGGCUUAACCUGGGAAUGGCAUUGGUGACUGCACGGCUAGAGUGUGUCGAGAGGGGGGUAGAAUUCCACGUGUAGCAGUAGAAAUGCGUAGAGAUGUGGAGGAAUACCGAAUGGCGAAGGCCAGGCCCCCUGGGAUAACACUGACGCUCA
rnacentral:rRNA from 1 species